AUCCCCGGUGUCACGCAAAUGCGUGCGGGACCCGCAUGGCUGGAACUGGUGAGAUCACCCAUGAACUGUUCCAGGGCUGACUCGUCCAUACCGUCGUCUACAAUUAGGAAGGACGACAUCCAUCGGCCGGAUGCACGGUUUCCGGGGGCUUUGGAUGCUUCUGCCCGCACGUGCGAACCGUGAGAGGCGGAUACCCGGCGAAUCGGGCGUCUCCGGUAAUCGCUGCUUCGCUAACGGGAAGCAUCGUUUGAGACCCAAGGCUGUGGUGAACAAGGGCGGUGGGGCGGUGGGCGGCACCGGUUUCCAUUUCCGAUGUGGAAUCUCUCGUUCCUUCUCUGUUUAGUCACAGAGAGUAUCGCGUCGCUUAUAUAUUUCUUCUUAAACUCGACUCAGAGUACUGUUCAUCUGGAUAAAGCUCUGCUCCUGGAGAUACUUCAUGGGGUCAUGCCUCUCUUCUUUCUUUCACUCUGGAGUGACCACAAACCCGGAAAUAUAGCAGAUUGCUCAAGCCCAACAUGGCUCUCAGGUAGUACUAGUAUUCUACCCUGCCAAUGUUAAUGUUAUCAUCCAGAUUGCCGGUGCUCCUUCGUAUGACAAUGAUGAGGAAAGCGCACAAAUUUAUUCCCACCGCUGCUCGCUGCAUAAUCUCCAGGAAUCUACAGGUGAGCCGCCUUCCUUAAUCUCCCUUUCACGUUAUAGAAAGCUUUGUUCAAGAACCUAGUGAUAAGUACGAAUUAAUACUCGGUUUCAUCCGAUGACAAGAUCAGCUACAGAAGGGAUCUCAAAGCUGACAGAUUUUUACUUGAAGUGUGAAGGGAAGCUAUAUCACUAAUGUAUUCUUCCUGGAUAUUUUGUUGUAAUGCAACCAGUCUUUUCCACCUUGUCUUGUGGCGCCGCAGUGAGAAUGUUCUCUUCCUGAACACAGCCACAAGGUCCUGCACAACACCUGAGAACACGCUGUUCUUGGGCAGCACAAAGAUGAUGGGAGGAGCAUCCGGCCACCGGGAUGCCAAACUGACAAGCCCAGCUGAAGCUUUCUUGUAUUUAGACCAUAAUCGUGAAGGCCGUGACCAUGCUGCAGUGGUGUAGUUGUACCAGCUAAAGAAGCUGCCGUGGCCACACUACUCCUGCUUUAUGGUGCAGUCAAAUCGGUCGAUGCCGAAGACUACGAAGGGGUGAACACUGGUGGAGCCGAGACAAAGGAGGCGAGGCAGAGGAAUAGCGCCCACCCACUGAGAAUAGAAUGGAAGAGGCCCAAACACCGAGUGCCUAGUUCCACUUGUCUACACAUCGGAGGACUGCGGCCGUCAGCGUCAGGAUCACCAUUCCCUGCGUGCAUCUAUCACCUUGAUAGAUCUAGAAGGUAAUCACUGUACUACAAUAUGUUUCAAAAUACAGUUGCAAUCUUCAAUGUAUAAUUGCAUAAAAUUUAGGUACGAAAAAUAUGUACGAAUUGACCAUGUAAAAAGGA